rnacentral:rRNA from 1 species
UACGUAGGGUGCAAGCGUUAAUCGGAAUUACUGGGCGUAAAGCGUGCGCAGGCGGUUAUGUAAGACAGGUGUGAAAUCCCAGGGCUUAACCUUGGAACUGCAUUUGUGACUGCAUAGCUAGAGUACGGUAGAGGGGGAUGGAAUUCCGCGUGUAGCAGUGAAAUGCGUAGAUAUGCGGGAGGAACACCGAUGGCGAAGGCAAUCCCUGGACCUGUACUGACGC